CCUACGGGUGGCAGCAGUGAGGAAUAUUGGUCAAUGGCCGGAAGGCUGAACCAGCCAAGCCGCGUGAAGGACGAAGGUGCCAAGAAUUGUAAACUUCUUUUGUCAAGGGACAAAAUCAGGCUCGAGAGCCUGACAGAGGGUACUUGAAGAAAAAGCAUCGGCUAACGCCGUGCCAGCAGCCGCGGUAAUACGGAGGAGGCGAGCGUUCUCCGGUUUUAGUGGGUUUAAUGGGUGCGUAGGCGGACGGUUAAGUCAGCGGUAAAAGACCGGGGCUCAACCCCGGCGAGCCGUUGAGACUGGCUGUCUAGAGAUGUCGAGAGGUAUGCGGAAUG
rnacentral:rRNA from 1 species